CCGUUGGGUGACUGAUUUCCCUGC
rnacentral:siRNA from 1 species